rnacentral:rRNA from 1 species
UGGGGAAUUUUCCGCAAUGGGCGAAAGCCUGACGGAGCCAUGCCGCGUGAGUGAAGAAGGCCCUAGGGUUGUAAAGCUCUUUCAUCGGUGAAGAUAAUGACGGUAACCGAAGAAGAAGCCCCGGCUAACUUCGUGCCAGCAGCCGCGGUAAUACGAAGGGGGCUAGCGUUGUUCGGAAUUACUGGGCGUAAAGCGCACGUAGGCGGAUUGUUUAGUCAGGGGUGAAAUCCCGGGGCUCAACCCCGGAACUGCCUCUGAUACUGGCAAUCUCGAGUCCGAGAGAGGUGAGUGGAAUUCCGAGUGUAGAGGUGAAAUUCGUAGAUAUUCGGAGGAACACCAGUGGCGAAGGCGGCUCACUGGCUCGGUACUGACGCUGAGGUGCGAAAGCGUGGGGAGCAAACAGGAUUAGAUACCCCGGUAGUCC